CUGGGAAAGACCGGUGCCAGCCGCCGCGGUAAUACCGGCAGUUCAAGUGGCAUCCAACUUUAUUGGGUCUAAACAUCCGUAGCUUGCUAUUUAAGUCUCUUGUGAAAUCCAACGUCUCAAGCGUUGGGCUUGCAGGAGAUACUGAAUAGCUAGAGAUCGGUAGGCGUAAGGAGUACGGCGAAGGUAGCGGUAAAAUGUGUUAAUCUUCGGUGGACUAACAAUGAGCGAAGGCACCUUACGAGGACGAAUCUGACAGUGAGGGAUGAAGGCCAGGGGCGCAAAACGGAUUAGAUACCCGUGUAGUCCUGGCAGUAAACACUGCUCACUAAACAUCGGGCCCUCUUCGGGAGGAUUCGGUGCUGAAGCGAAGGCGAAGAGUGAGCUACCUGGGAAGUAUAGUCGCAAGAUCGAAACUUAAAGGAAUUGGCGGGGAGACAUACAACGAGUGACGCGUGCGGUUCAAUCAGAUUUUACACCGUGAACCUCACCAGGAGCGACAGCAGGAUGAAGGUCAGUCUAAAGGGCUUACCUGACACGCUGAGCGGAGAUACAAAGCCGACGUCAGCCUGUGCUGUGAAGUGACCUGUUAAAUCAGGUAACAGGCGAGACCCGUGUCGUUAAUUACUACAGAAAUGGGUACAUUAAUCGAGAUUGCCUUGGUAACAAGGAUGAAAGUGCGGGCUACGUUAGGUGGCUUGUCCCUAAUCCCCUGGGCUACACGCGCGCGGCAAUGGUAUGUUCAAAUGGAUGCGACUCCGAGAGGAGAAGCUAAUCCCCUAACGCAUAUCUCAGUCCAGAUUGAGGGUUGCAACCCACCCUCAUGACGUUGGAAUUCGUAGUAAUCGGAUAUUAGCACUGUCCGGUGAAUAAGUCCCUGUCUCUUGCACACACCGCCCGUCAAACCAACCGAGUUAUGUAGGGAUGAAGCCCUUUUUGGGAAGAACCUUUUCAUGACAAGGUAGGUUAAGUCGUCACAAGGUAUCUGUAGGGGAACCUGCAGAUG
rnacentral:rRNA from 1 species